AUUAUUGCUCUCACUGGCAAUCUUUCUCUCUUUUCUGAACUCCUUUUCCUUUUCUCGUCUAUUCUCAUAUACAGGACUUGUAAUACAGAACGUACGUCUGUCGAAAUUCCUUUAACGAUGACCCAAUUUCCAAAUCCAAUGGGACGUCCGUCAAAAAUUUAUAGUAUUUUAUUUUAGCGGUAAACGGCCAGCAUCAUUGUCCUCCCCUCUAACCCAUUUACGUGUAGAUUUGUUAUACGUCCGUACAAUAUCUAAAGUUUCUGUCACCAGCUUUUGGCCUUUUACUAAAAAUCACUUACUGUAUUGCUUGCAUUAUUAUUUAGACUUCCACGUGUCUACCUACAACGUAACUAAGUACAGUAUAAGAUAGAACUAAUUAUAAUAAAGUUUACCCAAUAUUCGAACUCCUUAAUUAAGAGCUAAGCAACAGGCAAACGGGAGCACUCUGUGAAGACACACAUGGAUGAUACUGAGCUUGCAGGACUCGAAUAUGAGAUCUCUGGUUAAAGAUGAAAGGACACGUCUUUUCGCAACAACCCUUGCCGGUGGAUUUCAUGCAACCUUUGGAGUGAUGGAGUGAUGGAGCAAUGGCUGGAAUAUGGUUUUGUGGAGAAGGCAUAUGCCAUUGCCAUCUGAUUGGAGGCAAGUCACUUGGAAUUGGCUAUUAUCAGUUGUGGUUGUUAUUGUCACUUUGUCAGUGGCUUUAAAUUUGAUGUAUCGUAACUUUUAAGGUUUUUUUUGUGUUGAACUGAUGAUGUAUAUAUAAUAUAAAAUUAGGUAAUUAGGAGAUGAUGUGACAUUUUUUUU